rnacentral:tRNA from 1 species
UCCCUAGUGGCUGAGAUGGUAAAGAAUCUGCCUCCAAUGCAGGAGACCUGGGUUCGAUCCCUAGGUUGGGAA